GACGAACGCUGGCGGCGUGCUUAACACAUGCAAGUCGAACGGAAAGGCCCUGCUUUUGUGGGGUGCUCGAGUGGCGAACGGGUGAGUAACACGUGAGUAACCUGCCCUUGACUUUGGGAUAACUUCAGGAAACUGGGGCUAAUACCGGAUAGGAGCUCCUGCUGCAUGGUGGGGGUUGGAAAGUUUCGGCGGUUGGGGAUGGACUCGCGGCUUAUCAGCUUGUUGGUGGGGUAGUGGCUUACCAAGGCUUUGACGGGUAGCCGGCCUGAGAGGGUGACCGGCCACAUUGGGAAUGGGAUACGGCCCAGACUCCUACGGGGGGCAGCAGUGGGGAAUAUUGCACAAUGGGCGGAAGCCUGAUGCAGCAACGCCGCGUGCGGGAUGACGGCCUUCGGGUUGUAAACCGCUUUCGCCUGUGACGAAGCGUGAGUGACGGUAAUGGGUAAAGAAGCACCGGCUAACUACGU
rnacentral:rRNA from 1 species